GAACGCUGGCGGCAGGCCUAACACAUGCAAGUCGAACGAACCUUUCGGGGUUAGUGGCGGACGGGUGAGUAACACGUGGGAACGUGCCUUUAGGUUCGGAAUAACUCAGGGAAACUUGUGCUAAUACCGAAUGUGCCCUUCGGGGGAAAGAUUAAUCGCCUUUAGAGCGGCCCGCGUCUGAUUAGCUAGUUGGUUGAGGUAAUGGCUCACCAAGGCGACGAUCAGUAGCUGGUCUGAGAGGAUGAUCAGCCACAUUGGGACUGAGACACGGCCCAAACUCCUACGGGAGGCAGCAGUGGGGAAUCUUGCGCAAUGGGCGAAAGCCUGACGCAGCCAUGCCGCGUGAAUGAUGAAGGUCUUAGGAUUGUAAAAUUCUUUCACCGGGGACGAUAAUGACGGUACCCGGAGAAGAAGCCCCGGCUAACUUCGUG
rnacentral:rRNA from 1 species